AUGUUAUUAGUAUAAUUUAAUUAUAUCACUUUUCCAAAGUGGGGAUCUAAGAAUUUAGAUAGCAUA
rnacentral:tRNA from 1 species